rnacentral:rRNA from 1 species
AUUGAACGCUGGCGGCAUGCCUUACACAUGCAAGUCGAACGGCAGCACGGGAGCUUGCUCCUGGUGGCGAGUGGCGAACGGGUGAGUAAUACAUCGGAACGUACCCUGAAGUGGGGGAUAACGUAGCGAAAGUUACGCUAAUACCGCAUAUUCUGUGAGCAGGAAAGAGGGGGAUCGCAAGACCUCUUGCUUUAGGAGCGGCCGAUGUCGGAUUAGCUAGUUGGUGAGGUAAAGGCUCACCAAGGCGACGAUCCGUAGCGGGUCUGAGAGGAUGAUCCGCCACACUGGGACUGAGACACGGCCCAGACUCCUACGGGAAGCAGCAGUGGGGGAAUUUUGGACAAUGGGCGCAAGCCUGAUCCAGCCAUGCCGCGUGAGUGAAGAAGGCCUUCGGGUUGUAAGACUCUUUCGUGGGGAAGAAAUUAGCUUCGGCUAAUACCUGGAGUAGAUGACGGUACCCGCAUAAGAAGCACCGGCUAACUACGUGCCAGCAGCCGCGGUAA